rnacentral:rRNA from 1 species
ACGAACGCUGGCGGCACGCUUAACACAUGCAAGUCGAACGAGAGAAGAGGAGCUUGCUUUUCUGAUCUAGUGGCGGACGGGUGAGUAACACGUGAGCAAUCUGCCUUUCAGAGGGGGAUACCGAUUGGAAACGAUCGUUAAUACCGCAUAACAUAAUUGAACCGCAUGAUUUGAUUAUCAAAGAUUUAUCGCUGAAAGAUGAGCUCGCGUCUGAUUAGCUAGUUGGUAAGGUAACGGCUUACCAAGGCGACGAUCAGUAGCCGGACUGAGAGGUUGAUCGGCCACAUUGGGACUGAGACACGGCCCAGACUCCUACGGGAGGCAGCAGUGGGGAAUAUUGCACAAUGGAGGAAACUCUGAUGCAGCGAUGCCGCGUGAGGGAAGAAGGUUUUAGGAUUGUAAACCUCUGUCUUCAGGGACGAAAAAAGACGGUACCUGAGGAGGAAGCUCCGGCUAACUACGUGCCAGCAGCCGCGGUAAUACGUAGGGAGCGAGCGUUGUCCGGAAUUACUGGGUGUAAAGGGAACGUAGGCGGGAUCGCAAGUCAGAUGUGAAAACUAUGGGCUUAACCCAUAAACUGCAUUUGAAACUGUGGUUCUUGAGUGAAGUAGAGGUAAGCGGAAUUCCUAGUGUAGCGGUGAAAUGCGUAGAUAUUAGGAGGAACAUCAGUGGCGAAGGCGGCUUACUGGGCUUUAACUGACGCUGAGGCUCGAAAGCGUGGGGAGCAAACAGGAUUAGAUACCCUGGUAGUCCACGCCGUAAACGAUGAUUACUAGGUGUGGGGGGACUGACCCCUUCCGUGCCGCAGCAAACGCAAUAAGUAAUCCACCUGGGGAGUACGACCGCAAGGUUGAAACUCAAAGGAAUUGACGGGGGCCCGCACAAGCAGUGGAGUAUGUGGAUUAAUUCGAAGCAACGCGAAGAACCUUACCAGGUCUUGACAUCGUAUGCAUAGCUCAGAGAUGAGUGAAAUCUCUUCGGAGACAUAUAGACAGGUGGUGCAUGGUUGUCGUCAGCUCGUGUCGUGAGAUGUUGGGUUAAGUCCCGCAACGAGCGCAACCCUUACUGUUAGUUGCCACGCAAGAGCACUCUAGCAGGACUGCCGUUGACAAAACGGAGGAAGGUGGGGAUGACGUCAAAUCAUCAUGCCCCUUAUGACCUGGGCCUCACACGUACUACAAUGGCUGUCAACAGAGGGAAGCAAAGCCGCGAGGUGGAGCAAACCCCUAAAAGCAGUCUUAGUUCGGAUUGUAGGCUGCAACCCGCCUACAUGAAGUCGGAAUUGCUAGUAAUCGCAGAUCAGCAUGCUGCGGUGAAUACGUUCCCGGGCCUUGUACACACCGCCCGUCACGCCAUGGGAGUCGGUAACACCCGAAGCCUGUAGUCUAACCGCAAGGAGGACGCAGUCGAAGGUGGGAUUGAUGACUGGGGUG